rnacentral:rRNA from 1 species
UCGCCUGUUUUUCAAAAACAUCGCCGGGUAAUAUAUAUACUCGGUCUGUCUGCCCAGUGUUAUAUCAACGGCCGCAGUAUCCUGACUGUGCUAAGGUAGCAUAAUAAUUAGCUUCUUCAUUGGAAGCUUGUAUGAACGACCCGACGAAAAAUCACCUGUCUCAGCAAUCCUAUCUAACUUUCUAUGAGAGUCAAAAAGCUCUCUCCCUCUAAUGGGACGACAAGACCCUAUAAAACUUUACUCUUUUACUUACCUUUUUUUAACCCUAUUUAAGUUGUAGAGUUGUACUGGGGCGGUAAAUUUUAAUUCAAACAAAGAUCAUAGAAACGUUUUCAACGACUCCUACAAACACUAAUCAGUAAUAAAGAACAAGUUACUUUAGGGAUAACAGCGCAAUACCCCUUCAGAGCCCUUAUCGACAGGGGUGUUUACGACCUCGAUGUUGAAUUGAAGCCCCUUUAUAGAGCAGCCUCCAUAAAAGGAAGUCUGUUCGACUUUUAAUCCUUUACAUGAUUUGAGUUCCAAACCGGA